rnacentral:rRNA from 1 species
UCCGUAGGCGGAAGAUUAAGUCAGAGGUGAAAUCCCACAGCUCAACUGUGGAACUGCCUUUGAUACUGGUUGUCUUGAGUUAUAGUGAAGUAGAUAGAAUAUGUAGUGUAGCGGUGAAAUGCAUAGAUAUUACAUAGAAUACCGAUUGCGAAGGCAGUCUACUAACUGUAUACUGACGCUAAUGGACGAAAGCGUGGGGAGCGAACAGGAUUAGAUACCCUGGUAGUCC